UCAUCCCUGUCCAUAAGGACUCUCGGGCACUUAGGCUGGAACCUUGCAGAAGACAGGGCCUUAGGCCCCAGAAUUCGGUAAGUAUGCCUGAAUCCUGAAACGUCAUAGCAAGUCUCAGGGCGUUCCAUGAGCAUCCAGACCUCAGAAACAAAGCAGAGUCGCAGCAAAGCAUUCUCUCUUUCCCUCCCCUGGUACAGCAUGUGCUUAGGCCUUAUUCAUGUUUGUGUUAGCUGCUUAUCCUCUUCUGGUUUUUCAUACAAUCAUGGCUUUAUUUUAUAUGACAUCCCAAACCCUGCCUCAAAAUAACACCACCACUUCUGAAGUGGACGGCUGAUAAGGACAAAGGAGGGUUUCAGAGGGCAUUCAGAGUGACAUGUAGAAAGCCACAGCGGGCCGCCUCCAACAAGAGGGGCAACUGAGAAGGCGCUAUCGCCAACAGAGGCAAAAUUGUGCGCACAGUUGAAUUUAGCCAGUGACGUCCCAGGAAAAAGCAAAAGCCAGAAGGUCCACUGGAGGCCUUUUGCAAACAAGAAAUUAGAACUUAUCCCAGAAACAGCAAAGAAGCUUGUGGGCAUCCAGAGCAUCUGCCCAAAGUUCCAGAAAUUCAAGAUAUUUAAUGGACCCUCGCCUUAAAGCAACUUGCGACAGCCAUCCCUUCAGGAUACACAUUCCCUUUCUUCUGUCCGAGCGCAUGGCUCUGUACUUUGUACUCUUCUAUUAUGGCUUUUGCCUUUAUAAGCCCCUGACACUUUCUCUUCCCCAGAACACUCUUCUGGUUUUACCCAAAUCUGUCUCCAGAAUUGCAAUUCUUAACCCCCCCAAUAAACUCUUUAAGCUUU